UCGUAACAAAACGUGCAGAGGCGCACGAGGGCUGUCGCUGACUUUUUCGAGUCGUGCACGCCAGCGUGUGUCCUCUCGCACGAAAUCCAUCUCACCCUUUUGUGCACCACCGCGUGGGCUUCUUCUUCCCUUUGGGGAUCGAGCUUACGUUUUCACACAAAACCCCCCUUUUAAAAGUGUAGAACGUCCUCAUUUUCGCGAUGACACGCGAUCAAUA
rnacentral:misc_RNA from 1 species